rnacentral:rRNA from 1 species
GAUGAACGCUGGCGGUAUGCCUAACACAUGCAAGUCGAACGAUCCUUUGGAUAGUGGCGGACGGGUGAGUAACGCGUGAGUUAUCAACGCUUAGGUGAGGCAUAUCAAAUGGAAACGUUUGUUAAUUCCUCAUAAUGCUAUUAAAGUUAAAGAUUUUUUCGCCUAAGCACGAGCUUGCGUCUGAUUAGCUAGUUGGUAGGGUAAUGGCUUACCAAGGCUUUGAUCAGUAGCUGGUCUGAGAAGAUGAACAGCCACACUGGAAUUUAGAACGGAACAGACUCCUACGGGAGGCUGCAGUGGGGAAUAUUUGGCAAUGAGCGAAAGCUUGACCAAGCAAUACCGCGUGGAGGAUGAAUGCUUUAGGGUUGUAAACUCCUUUUCUGAUUGAGGAAAUUCUGACAGUAUUUCAGGAAUAAGCAUCGGCUAACUUCGUGCCAGCAGCCGCAGUAACAC